rnacentral:rRNA from 1 species
GACAGAGGGUGCAAACGUUGUUCGGAAUUACUGGGCGUAAAGCGCGUGUAGGCGGCUAAGUAAGUCGGGCGUGAAAUCCCACGGCUCAACCGUGGAAGUGCACUCGAAACUGCAUAGCUAGAGUCCUGGAGAGGAAGGUGGAAUGCUUGGUGUAGAGGUGAAAUUCGUAGAUAUCGGGAGGAACACCAGUGGCGAAGGCGGCCCGCUGGGCAGUGGCUGACGCUGAGGCGCGACAGCGUGGGGAGCAAACAGG